rnacentral:lncRNA from 1 species
GGAUUAUUUAAUUUAUGAUUUUGCUGUGGUUGAAACUUCAGGAAAACCAAUUUAUUACACUGUUGUAUCUGGCAAUGAAAGAGGUCACUUUAGACUGGAUACUGAAAGUGGUGAGCUGAGAACAGCAGUUAAUUUGGACUAUGAGGAAGUUUCUCAGUAUGUGAUUUUAAUUCAAGCAAACAAAAGAGUCUCCUCUGCUGCAGAAUUCCAGCGUUCAGGUAACCUCUUGCUUUGAAUGACAUUCCAGGGGAGCAGUGGACACGUGGUUUUUAUUUGCAAUCCAUAGAGGAGUUGUGAUUCUCUUUUACUUGUAAAGUUUGAUGUGAAAGGUGAAAAGCUGAUGGUCCAGGUUGUUCCCUCGUGUUGUUCCCAGGCCUGUUUGCUGAGAACGCGGCCAUGCUUACAAUCUCUGUGCAGGAUGUGAACGAAGAGCCCGUGUUCUCCAGCCAUUCUUACUCUGCUCGCAUUCCCAGCUCUGUGCCCUACAAAUACCCUGUCAUUACAGUCCAGGCCACAGAUCCAGACUCAGGAGACAAUGGACACCUGCUGUACAGCUUAGUGAGAGGUCAAACCAACGAAUUUGACAUCAAUGAAAACACAGGGCAGAUUUUUACAGUUUCUGUAGCAGGGAAAGCUGGAACAUUUUAUCUGGAAGUCCAAGCUGCCGACCAAGGCACAAGAAGACUCACAGCCUGGACAACAGUCAAUGUAAGGAAGAUUUUUAUGUAUAAUCCUGAUUUACUUCCAUGUCAAAAUUGUAAAC